rnacentral:piRNA from 1 species
UGUGGAUUUAGCAAGGCUGCUGGUGAGCUAU